GACGAACGCUGGCGGCGUGCUUAACACAUGCAAGUCGAACGGAAAGGCCCUGCUUGCAGGGUGCUCGAGUGGCGAACGGGUGAGUAACACGUGGGUGAUCUGCCCCUUACUUUGGGAUAAGCCUGGGAAACUGGGUCUAAUACUGGAUAGGACCAUGCUGUAUGCGGUGUGGUGGAUAGAUUAGUUUCGGUAAGGGAUGAGCUCGCGGCCUAUCAGCUUGUUGGUGGGGUAUUGGCCUACCAAGGCGUCGACGGGUAGCCGGCCUGAGAGGGUGGACGGCGACAUUGGGACUGAGAUGCGGCGCAGACUCCUACGGGAGGCAGCAGUGGGGAAUAUUGCACAAUGGGCGCAAGCCUGAUGCAGCGACGCCGCGUGGGGGAUGACGGCCUUCGGGUUGUAAACUCCUUUCAGCCAUGACGAAGCCCUUGUGGUGACGGUAGUGGUAGAAGAAGCACCGGCUAACUACGUG
rnacentral:rRNA from 1 species